ACUCCUUGCACCCCAGGGCAGCUGGACGCCAGCGAUUCCUGUUGGGUUCUUACUGCCUGAACAGCAAGACCUUCAUCAGGCCACCAGAGAUGUCUGGGAAAAAAGAAUCAUUGCAAGACAUGCAGAGUGGUACGGAGCUCAGAAUUGUUCUUAAGCCAAAGGUAGAGGGAACACCAUCUGCUUGAGUUGGAGCCCCGUCCAGACCCGGGACAGGUGUCAGCCA